GAUGAACGCUGGCGGCGUGCCUAAUACAUGCAAGUCGAGCGAACGGACGAGAAGCUUGCUUUUCUGAUGUUAGCGGCGGACGGGUGAGUAACACGUGGAUAACCUACCUAUAAGACUGGGAUAACUUCGGGAAACCGGAGCUAAUACCGGAUAAUAUUUUGAACCGCAUGGUUCAAAAGUGAAAGACGGUCUUGCUGUCACUUAUAGAUGGAUCCGCGCUGCAUUAGCUAGUUGGUAAGGUAACGGCUUACCAAGGCAACGAUGCAUAGCCGACCUGAGAGGGUGAUCGCCCACACUGGAACUGGGACACGCUCCAGACUCCUACGGGAGGCAGCAGUAGGGAAUCUUCCGCAAUGGGCGAAAGCCUGACGGAGCAACGCCGCGUGAGUGAUGAAGGUCUUCGGAUCGUAAAACUCUGUUAUUAGGGAAGAACAUAUGUGUAAGUAACUGUGCACAUCUUGACGGUACCUAAUCAGAAAGCCACGGCUAACUACGUG
rnacentral:rRNA from 1 species